AGGAGGAGCAGCCCCAGUGGCGGGGCAGCUCUGGAAACCUGGAUUCAGCUCCGGCAGGAACUCCGUCUGCAGGGCCUGGAGGCUCCGGGCGGGG
rnacentral:pre_miRNA from 1 species